CACUACUUCACUGGCCCCCAGAUCUUGCUUUAUGCUAAUCUACCCAGCUGACAUCUCCAGAAUGUCUUGUCCAUUGUCUCAUGAUGGGCACACAGGUACCUCAAGGUGUGCAUGGCCCUGCUCCCUCCUUGGGGGAGGGGAGGUAAAGGGGGGAAACAGUGGUAUGGCAUGUGCCUAAGGCCAUAGUUCUAUAUCUAAGGCUUUUCUCUCCAGCGUUUCAGAAGCCUCUCCUUCCCCUUCUCCCUUGAGACAAGACCCAAAUGCAGGACUGGCUUUGCCUCUUCUCUUUAGUCUUGAGACACAGUGCAGACCCUCUGUGUCCGAAAGGAAUUCCUCAGCGAUAAGUAACAAAUCCAGCUAACCGUGGCUUAAACUACAAGGACAUUUAUUAUUGUUCCAAGUAUAGAACCAGCCAAUACAGAAUUGGUUGUGUAACUCAA